AUCAACUUUCGAUGGUAGGAUAGAGGCCUACCAUGGUGGUAACGGGUAACGGGGUGUUAGGGCACGACACCGGAGAGGGAGCCUGAGAAACGGCUACCACAUCCAAGGAUGGCAGCAGGCGCGCAAAUUACCCAAUCCCGACACGGGGAGGUAGUGACAAUAAAUAACAAUACGGGGUUCUUUCGGAUCUCGUAAUUGGAAUGAGUACAAUUUAAAUCUCUUAACGAGGAACAAUUGGAGGGCAAGUCUGGUGCCAGCAGCCGCGGUAAUUCCAGCUCCAAUAGCGUAUAUUAAAGUUGUUGCAGUUAAAAAGCUCGUAGUUGAAUUUCGGGGUCAGCAGGUUGGUCGUGCCACUGGUAUGCACUGGCCUUGCUGAUUCCUCCCUCUUGAUGAGCCGUAAUGUCAUUAAUUUGGUGUUGCGGGGAAUCAGGACUGUUACUUUGAAAAAAUUAGAGUGUUUAAAGCAAGCAAGCGCUUGAAUACGUUAGCAUGGAAUAAUGAAAUAGGACGUUUGAUCCUAUUUUGUUGGUUUCUAGGAUUGACGUAAUGAUUAAUAGGGAUAGUUGGGGGCAUUAGUAUUCAAUUGUCAGAGGUGAAAUUCUUGGAUUUAUUGAAGACUGACUACUGCGAAAGCAUUUGCCAAGGAUGUUUUCAUUAAUCAAGAACGAAAGUUAGGGGAUCGAAGACGAUCAGAUACCGUCGUAGUCUUAACCAUAAACUAUGCCGACUAGGGAUCGGAUGAUGUUAAUUUUUUAAUGACUCAUUCGGCGCCUUACGGGAAACCAAAGUGUUUGGGUUC
rnacentral:rRNA from 1 species